CACCUGGAGGCCAGAGGAUAGGGAAGCCCAUGGAUGCCGGCCAUAGAGGCCAGGGCCUUGGGGCACAGAGCCAGCGGAGGAUCUCGUAAGGAGGCCACUUGCAUUCAGAAUCUGUCAAAGGACCAUUUUCAAAGCAGAGCUUAAAGCGGCAUCACUAGCACGUCUCACACAACACAGAAGUCCUGGGGUCGAGGCCUGGGCGCAGUCUCUGCUCUCCGUGAAUUCAGUCAACGAGGCUUUGCCUGUCCUUGCCGGUGCCCUGGGGAGAUGCAGCGGAACGGGCUGCCUCUCCUCGUUCUGUGGGAGCUCACAACCGUGUUUGGCACACGCAGGUCAGCCAGGGUGAAGGGUGAAGUGUGAGCAGGAGGAGGAACAAGCCGAGGGCUGCAAGAGGAAGAAGAGGGCGGUCACUGAAAGGGCCACGGAGCUGUGCCCCAAGGUCCUGUUGGUUCUGAGUUCAGGCACUGCUGGCAGCCAGGAGGGCUCACAGCCCUGGGGCACAGGGGCGAGGUAGUGAUGCAACUGCCUGGCAGGUGCCUUGGGUGGAGACGAGUGCCCCCAUCUCAGUCAUCAUGACUUCUUUAUUCAUGAGCUCCAAAUAUUAUUUUCCUGGCCAACCACAACUCCUGGUCAGGCUGGGGGUGGUCAACUUUCUUUUGCCUCAUUUAAACGCACAGUGCUGCUCCUCAAGUCAACAACCUCUCUUCAGACUCUGCAUUUUAUUGAUCAUGGUACUGCGCAAGACUUUUCAGGAGAGUUUGGUCAUCUCCCAUGAUGCCAACUCCAGAAGAUUAGGAGUGGGCCCCUGUGCGAACAGGAGGUUGUUCUGGGGUCCAUGAGAGGCGGCGGUCACACUUCCUAACACGUUCAGCUGACGCUGGUGCAAAUAGGACAAAGGAGGGGCUCUCACCCCAAACAUUCCAGUCAGGGGGACGGAACUUGGUAAAUGUUCGGGGAGCCAUGGGGGUCAUCCUGUGCCCUCCUCCUGGUCUGUUCACCAAGCUCAAGAGGGAAGACAAGUGAUCAGAAAUCCGCAGAUAGUGAGCAACAGCGGGAAAGGACUCACCAGGAAGGAGGCAGCCAAGAAAGAGCAGGUCCUUCUCUGCUGCCCAGGCUGGAGUGCAGUGGUGCAA